CCCAAAUAAAGCUUUUAGUAUAAAGACAAUUGAGGUGCACUAUUAGAUGCUUGUCCUUAAUAGUGGGGUCUGAACAGACAUGCUUAAUUAGACGUCCUCAAAUCGUACCACUCAACGCUGAUUGCCAUAAGUCUGUACCUCCUUCCCCAUGUAACCUCACUAAAAAGAGUAACCCUCUCAUAAAAACAAAGGUCACAUACCCCUCUAAUUAUUGAUCUAGGAUACUAUUGUAUAUAAAAUUGCCAAAAUAAUGUCAGGGAUGUUCAAUAGAAGAACUAUGGGAACAUUAUUUAAUUGUAUCGACCACUCAGUUAAAAAAAAAGCUAUGUUUUUAUGUCAUCUUGAAGGUAGGU